AGUCUCUCUGCAAGAUCUCAAGGGAGAGGCCACGACUCAUUCUAAGCUGGGAAUCAACUGAACUUGGACAGGUUGCGCUGAUUGCGUAAUUUCCGGUGAGUGCAGAGGUCGCGCAGAUUGUAGAAGUGCCGCUGACUGCGGAAGCUCCAAAGUGGAGAGCCGCGCUGAGCCAUCAUGGAGACAGAAAGAGAGUGAGCAACAGAACGCAACAAGAGACACAACAAGAAAGAUCUGAACUUAAUAAAUCAAGUUUAACAU